ACGAACUGAGUCCGCUGCUUCCAUAAUUCCUUUCUUUGCCUCAGGCUGCCCGGCUGACUGCCUAGCUCCCGAUCUUCACCAUUCGCUAAUCAGAAUCCUCCGCGGCCAAAAUCACGACAAUUGCUAGCUCAAUCGGACGGAAAAUAAGGUUUCUUCAAUCUUAUGGAGUGCCUUGCUGUGUAAACCCUUUUGAGAGAUUAAUGAACAUACCAGCAGCUUUAUUCUUUUUCCCCAUUCGGUGUAGUCUAUGUUGGAUGUAUUCGAUUGAUGGUUUAAACUUUGGUCUGGUUAUGAUAUAUCUGCUUCCUGUCGCUGAUUCAGAUGGCUUUCUGUGAGGAAGAGUGUACCUCUCUUGGGUUUAUGGAGCUUGCUAUAGAACAAGCCAAAAUUGCUAUGGACAGCCUUGAAGUUCCUGUUGGGUAUGCCAAGUGGUGAUAUAUAGUAGCAGUCAUUUUACUUUUCCACAAUUUUGUCUUUGUUUAUGCAAUAUAUGAAUGGGGCAUAAUUGUACUAGUUUCUGCAUCAAUCUUCAUAUGCUUUUUUAGUUUCUACAGUAGGCUUUUGUGAAAUACUUAAAUUUGUUGCCUUCUAUUGCUGGUCACUGAAAUUUGAAAACUUUCUAUUGUUCUAAUAUUCGCUGCCUUCACAGCCUCA